CGCCCCCGCCCGACGGGGUGCAGCAGGCGCGAAAACUUGGCAAUGCGAGAAAUCGUGACCAGGGAACUCCAAGUGGNUGGGGUAAGACCCANUCUUUUCUUGACUCUUCAACGGUCUUGGAAUAAGGGGUGGGUAAGGACGGUGCCAGCCGCCGCGGUAAUACCGGCGCCUCAAGUGGUAGUCGAUUUUAUUGGGCCUAAAACGUCCGUAGCCUGUUUGGUACAUUCGUGGGUAAAUCAACCAGCUCAACUGGUUGAAUUCUGCGAGCACGGCCAGACUUGGGACCGGGAGAGGUGUGGGGUACGCUCAGGGUAGGGGUAAAAUCCUGUCAUCCUGAGCGGACCACCUGUUGCGAAGGCGCCACACUAGAACGGAUCCGACGGUCAGGGACGAAGCCUAGGGGCACGAACCGGAUUAGAUACCCGGGUAGUCCUAGGUGUAAACGCUGUGGACUUGGUGUUGGGGACUCUCCGAGAUUCCUCAGUGCCGAAGCGAAGGUGAUNGNU
rnacentral:rRNA from 1 species